rnacentral:rRNA from 1 species
GAACAGGGCGAUAGUCGCUGGGUGUAGACCCGAAACCAAGUGAUCUACUCAUGGCCAGGAUGAAGGUGCGGUAACACGCACUGGAGGUCCGAACCCACUAAUGUUGAAAAAUUAGGGGAUGAGCUGUGGGUAGGGGUGAAAGGCUAAACAAACUUGGAAAUAGCUGGUUCUCUCCGAAAACUAUUUAGGUAGUGCCUCAAGUAUCACCACCGGGGGUAGAGCACUGUUAUGGCUAGGGGGUCAUCGCGACUUACCAAACCAUUGCAAACUCCGAAUACCGGUGAGUGCGAGCUUGGGAGACAGACGUCGGGUGCUAACGUCCGGCGUCAAGAGGGAAACAACCCAGACCGCCAGCUAAGGUCCCAAAGAUUGGCUAAGUGGAAAACGAAGUGGGAAGGCUAAAACAGUCAGGAUGUUGGCUUAGAAGCAGCCAUCAUUUAAAGAAAGCGUAAUAGCUCACUGAUCGAGUCGUCCUGCGCGGAAGAUGUAACGGGGCUAAGCCAGUCACCGAAGCUGCGGAUAU